UGGCUCAGUUGGCAGAGCAUGGUGUUUGCAAUGCCAGGGUUGUGGGUUCGAUUCCCAC
rnacentral:tRNA from 1 species